UACGUAGGCAGCAAGCGUUGUUCGGAGUUACUGGGCGUAAAGAGUGCGUAGGCGGUCCUGUAAGUUUGGUGUGAAAUCUCCCGGCUCAACUGGGAGGGUGCGCCGAAGACUGCAGGGCUUGAGUAUGGGAGAGGUAAGCGGAAUUCCUGGUGUAGCGGUGAAAUGCGUAGAUAUCAGGAGGAACACCGGUGGCGAAGGCGGGUCUCUGGGCCGUAACUGACGCUGAGGAGCGAAAGCAUGGGGAGCGAACAGG
rnacentral:rRNA from 1 species